CUAAAUUAGUGUAGUAAAAUAAUUAAGACAUCAAAUUUCUUUGAGUCAUAAAAUGCUUAUUUGUAUCAUUCCAGGAAUCAUUUUUCCUUUGGUAACAUAGCAAUUUGGCAUUAUGGUUCAGGUACCACUUCCAAUGUAUCUGUACAUAUGUACUUUUGAUAUCACAAUAUGUUGAUAUUCACUAUCUUUAGGAAACUGGUAAAAUUAUAUUCCUAAUAUAUUCUUAUUGCUAUUAGUGAAUCAAAUAGAACACAAUAUUGUAUAAUGAGAGUUUUACAGAUAAAUAAUAAUAAACACUUACAUUAAAUUAAAUAAAUAUAUUUUUAUCUAAUCAUGCUAUUUUCUUAAUUUAUUGAAUCUAAAUUACUUCACUUGGUUUUACAUGAUCAACAUAGCAACUAGCAGAAGAGAUAUGUACAUCAUUGCAUCUUUUAUUCUUUAUACUAUGGGGCAUAUUCUUGUUCUUUCAGUAGCAGCAUAUAGUAUAUUAUUUAGUUAUUGUUCCAAGUAUGAAUUAAGUGUACUGUAUAUAUUGCAGGUGCUGCUCAGUUAUUUUUUAUUUGUUGAAAAUAAUUGUACAAAUUCCCUAUCAUCCAUAAUUCAAUGGUUUCUUAUAGAAAUUAUAUAUUGAUUUGCAUUGUUUUAGUAUGCAUCACAUUUUUCAUGAACUCAUCUCCAUCGCAAAGUGAGGGUCUGGAUGAAUAUUUAAAAUAAAACAUUAUAAAAAUGACAUUUUUAAGAUUAAAGAAAAAUUAGGAUUAUAUACACUACUAUAUACAAAAUUGUAUGUCAACAUAACUUGAGAAGCAGAUGAACAGAUUUAGGAAAAAUAUAUAUCAUUGAAUUUCACAUUUUCUUGGUCCUAUUUUAAUUGAAUUAAUUUAGAGUUGUCAAAAGGCCACUUUUUGACUAGUCUGUCAAGAAUUUAUGAUAAUCAGCUCACUAAUAAUCAAAUGAUCAGGUUAUGAUAUAAAAUAAUUUCCUAAACCUGAUGAUGCCAAAAUACAAAUUUAAAAAUUGAAAUUUAUGAAAUACUGGAAUAUAUAAAAAUGUAACCAUUUUAUCUAUUUAAUGAUUUUAUAAAAGACAGCAAAUAAUUCUUGAAAGAUGCCAAAAAUUAAGAAAAAUAUAAAUUUAAAUUAAAUUAAUAGUAAUAAAUAGGGCUCGGAAGUUUAAG
rnacentral:lncRNA from 1 species